GAUGAAGAACGCAGCGAAAUGCGAUAAGUAGUGUGAAUUGCAGAAUUCAGUGAAUCAUCGAAUCUUUGAACGCACAUUGCGCCCCUUGGUAUUCCAUGGGGCAUGCCUGUUCGAGCGUCAUUUGUACCUUCAAGCUCUGCUUGGUGUUGGGUGUUUGUCUCGCCUCUGCGUGUAGACUCGCCUUAAAACAAUUGGCAGCCGGCGUAUUGAUUUCGGAGCGCAGUACAUCUCGCGCUUUGCACUCAUAACGACGACGUCCAAAAGUACAUUUUUACACUCUUGACCUCGGAUCAGGUAGGGAUACCCGCUGAACUUAAGAAUAUCAAUAAGCGGCGGA
rnacentral:misc_RNA from 1 species